UGCAAUCGGAUUAGCUAGAAGACAAAAAGAAAUCCCCGAUUGCUUCCUUCGCUGCCCCUCUCUCCUGUUUCUCUUCUCUGGAUUCCCCAAGCCAAAGCCAGCCGCCGCCGACUUCCCAACCCCGGCCUCCACUCCACCGCCGGCGGCCUCUCCCCCUCUCCCUGGACGCAUAUCCACUCGAGCAGCACAGCCCACGGUCAGAUCCGCCCCUCCGUCCUCGCGCCAGAAACCCUAGCCGUCCGGCGAUGGCGACCGACCGCAGGCACAGGCCUCGACGACGGUGGCGCCACGGAGCGGAGCUUCCUCUGCCCGGGACGCCGCUCAUGUGCUCGUCAAGGUCCGCUGCUCCUUCCUCCAGUCCCAGACCCAGGAUAAGCAGCAGCAGCAUGAAGGUACGACCCUCUCUCUUGAUUUCCUCUUAUUCCCUCCCUUUCCUUUCCCUAAGGCAUGGGAUUUGCUUUCCUUGGUAGGUGCACGCAUCUCCUCCUCCCUGCCAUUUGUUGUGUUGCUCCAUGAGCAUACCUUUCUAUAGUAGAGAUCUAAUAAGCUUCUGUUGAUUUUUUCAGAGGAAAAAAGUUACGUUUGCUUGACCAUAUCUAUCCUUUUAGUGAACUUUAAAACAGGCUAUUCAAGCAGGAGUAUGUGUAGACAUAUUUGUUGUAACUGAUGAAUACACCGAUUUGGCUUCGUCGAAGUGUUAAAGUAUUUAAAGUGGUGGCUCAUUAUUCUCUAUGCAAACUCGGAUGAUUCCACACUUGACCAGGACAUGUGUCGCCUGUUGAGUAGAUCCUAUGCAUUUGGUUGUGUUCUCAGGCUGAGAACAUCACAAGAUUUCGAUCCUAGCCACUCUGUAAGCCUUCAAGCUACCCGUAUUCACAUUAUCUGUAGGAUCAAAUCCCAUGUCUGUCACCGUAAAAAGUGUUUAACCCACCUUGGGUGCCACUGACCUGUUAGGUCUGGACCCACAUGCCAUUGAUGCAAUAGUGGCAUAACUGUUUCGAAAAAUUGCAGUGACAGAUAAGGAUUUAACACUUAACCAUACCAUCUAAUUUUUAAUGUAUCCAUCUUUUUGCAGUAUGGCCAUUUCUUGCCUGAUCCUCAAUAUGAAAAUGUGCAACAUAUUAACUGCUGUGAUUCAAUUCAGAUUGUCAUAGGUAAUUCGCAUAAUGGACUGUCAUAAAUAAUUUGCAUCAUGUUGUACCAACAGCCAAAGGGAGUGCAUGGUUCUACUAGCUUAUUUGUGUUCGAGCCUCCAACAGGCUAUGGAUGCCCCAAGAUUUGAAGCAUGUUACACAAAAAUACAUGAGUUCAUGGGGGAGCACGUCAAUAAGGCUGCUGCAUGAGUUCAUGUCAUCGGCAGUGGCUCGCUCGUCAACAAGGCCGAUGAAAUCAGGGGGAGCACGAGCGUGUCCGGGGACGGGCACACUUUAUGCUUCUUUAAUUCACUGCAGCAAAAUACUAACAGCAUCAACAUCGACAGCGUUCGUCACUCCCCUGACGGCGUCUCCGGUGCCAAAGGUGUCCGAUCGAACUCAGUUGGAGGCCAAACAGGUUCGGCUCUCGGACAUGCCAUCAAUAACGCUCGAUGACACCGAUACGCAGACUGUAAGUUUACCCCCUCAGCCCAUAUUGGUGUGAGACACCCUGCAUUUACAUGAUAUUGCUAGGAACGCGUGCAAAUUGCAUAAUUUGUUAUACAUGCUUACUUGAUCACCGAUGUGCUGUUAAUUGGACCUCAAGAAUAGAGAUGACACCUUACCAUAGGCAGCUCUUAAUUAUGUGCGCGUUAAUUCAAUUCUGAAAGUUGAUUCAAGUCUAUAGUGCUUCAAGUAGAUUCAUAGAAGCAAUUCCGUUAGUAUGUGAACAAAAACCUCAUCUUAUAUGUGUGGCCGGAGUUGCAGAAUAUGAAUAGGGGAAUGAUCAUAGAUGCCAACACCUACAGUGUGAUUUAUCUUGAUAGAGGUGCAAUGGAUUCGUAAGUAGUUUUGAUGUUUUUUCUAGAUAGCUCAAGUACUUAAGCUUCUGCAGUCAUGAAAAACAAAAGAAGGGACCAGUAGUCAGGUUCCAUUAAUCCUUCUAUAGGUGUUCUCUUUGAUGCCUUUCCCCCUUCAUUACCAUGACAAUGAUGCUUUCUCUGUUAACCUUCUCGGUGGUGUUGGGCGCUGUGCUCUUGACCUUGAAAGUGUAUUUGCAACUUUACUCAUAAUACCUUUGUGUGAUAGUGAGGCAAUUUAGUUGCAUGCCUUCAGUUACAAAAAAAGUCCUUGAAAUAAAAAAGAAAGAAAAAGUAACAAGAGUUGUUGAAAAUACGAAUGGGUCAUCAAUGGUCAUAGAACAGGAGAGCAAUUUGAAUGGACAAUGGAAACAUUUGUAAAAGAAGCAGCUAAACGGAGGCCGCUCGCCCAGAGUGUCUCGGAGGAGGAUGUCACACUGAUUACGAGUCGAGGGACUAGUCGAGACUAGUCGACAGACUAGUCUAUGAGUCGCAACUUGAGUGUCGACUACAAAUCUCGUGUAGACUACUUGGUGUAGUCGAGCAGUCGACAGACUAGUCUGGACUAGUCGAGCUAUUUGAGUCGAGCGACUCAAAAUUUUGAGGGGAUAAGUCACCCAGCCUGGCCGGAGCUCGUGCUCGGGCGGCAGCCAUGGCCGUGACAUGUAGGCGCGCGCGGCCCUGAGACGAGAGAGAAGGAAGAGAGAUAGAGGAGAGGAGAGGAGGAGGCAUGGAGGUGGUCGGCGGCAGCGGCAGGGGCCGGUGGAAGGCAGCUGGAGGCGCGGGUCACGCACGCGUGCUCCCGUGUGUGAUGGUGCUGGCGGCGGCAAUGGGAUCGAUCGGGAGCUAGGGUUCCAGUGACGGGAGCUAAGUAGGCUGGCCACUUGGGCCCAAAUGGGCCAGCUGGGGGGUGUUGUGUGGUGCUGGGCUGGGCCUGGCGAGCGUUGCCCAACACUUCUGGUUUUAUUGCAUACUGUACUGUUUAUAUAUACUACUACUAGUAGUUAUUAACAAUAGUUGAGUACUACAGUACCAUGUCGACUAGUCCAGCACUAGUCUAGACUAGUCACGAUUAGUCUAUGAGUCUCAACCUCGGAACGACUCGUCGACUCGUAAACCUUGGGAUGUCACUGCCGCUGGAUUGGCGGAUGACUACUUCUCGGUGGCGUAUGGAUGUCGCACUGUAUGGAUCUUGAUCUGUAGUUGGAUAGUUCCUGACCUCAUUCUAGGAGGCUGAUUGGAGCCUGGUACUUCACUUUUUUCCUUACUGAUAAAUGCUCAUGUUCAUUAAUUUGGUAAUGCUCAUGACAUUGCACAUGAGUUGCUGCGAGCCAAGCGAUAGAAAAGUUUGAAACUAAUGCUGCAGUUGAUGUUUCUUUUUGUUCUUCUUCAUGACAUUUUUUUGGGUUCAGCAUGUUGAUAAGAACUACUCCCUCUGUUUCCAAAUAUAAGUCUUUUUAGAGAUUUCAAUGUGGACUAGAUACGGAUGUAUAUAGACGGAUUUUAGAGUGAGAUUCACCCAUUCCACCGUAUGUAGUCCAUAUUGAAAUCUUCUAACAAGACUUAUAUUUAGGAACGGAGGGAGUACUUUGUUUGUAGUCUUUGUACAACCUGCUUUGUUCAGAAGAAUGUUCUAUCAGGCAACCAUGUCUGAUAUGUUCACAUGACUUCUUUCAUGUGGCCGUUCCUCACAUUCCUUUGCUUCCAAGUUCCAACUAUUCCAGUCAGCUGCAAUGAAGCCCUCCAUAGAGAAGGGUUUGCAGAUAAUGAUCUUGGCAUCCCAGAUAAGCAGGUCGGGGACAAAGCCAGUGCCGAGGGGGAUUUCAAUGGAUCACCAACACGAGAAACUGAAAUGGCAGGACCAGAAAAGAUGGUCCCAGAUCUCACUGCAGCAGGAUGUGCAAGAACACAUCAAUGAUCAUCUGUGAGACUAACACUGAAAUUUUGUUGAUGGAGCAUUAGCUCUGCUAUUUAGCUUCUAGAGUACAAUGACUUGUACGUACAACUAUAACAGCUAGCAGCAUGGUUUAUCCCCUUCUGGUUCUACUAUUUCUCUAGAGUGAUGGCAUAGGAAGAGCAUGUGUAUAUGUUGAGGUUAGUCUUCUGAAACUAAUGCUGCAGAUGUUCUUUGUAGACUCAGCAUGUGUAUUUAUUUUAUUUUUACUUCUUUG